CGCUGGUAAGGACGCAACUCGCGCCAGAAACGACGCUACCCGCGCUGGUAACGUUGCGGCUCGGCUUCGUUUUGAAGCUGCAGAAACUCAAAGUUUACGAAAAGCAUAAUUGUUUGCUUAUAUAAUUAAGACGUCUAAGUCGUCACGGGUCCUCACCAGGAAGCCGGAUGUCCUACUCUCUAGAAAAUCACAUUUAGACUCUGGACAACCACUUUGUCCCUUCCACCAUGUGAGGACACAGGAGACAGUGCUGGUUGUUACCAGAAGGCGGGCCUUACCAGAAGCAAGUCUGCCAUUGUAUUGGACCUCCCAGCCUAUAGAAUUGUGAGAAAUAAACUUCUGCUGCCUGUAAACCUCCCAAGUAAAGCAGUGUCAUCAGGGUGCCAUUCGGCCACAUCAGUUGUGCUUCUCUCCUGAGGCUGAGACCCUUCCCCUUGUCAUACAGCUGUCAAAAGCAGCUCUGCGGUGUUGGGACUUGGUCCAUGCAGUCAGCAGCUCUCUGCUAUGGCCUGGGAAAAACACCAGAACAUGGCCCAAGUGGUUUGGACCCUGCAUCCACAUGGAAGACCUGAAAGAAGCUCUUGGCUCCUGGCUUCGGCCUGGCCCAGCCCCAACCAUUGUAGCCAUUCGAGGAGUGAACCAGCAGAUGGAAGACUUCUCUCUGUCUCUCCCUCCCUCUUUCUAUAACUCCACUUUUCAAAUAAAUAAAUCUUAAAAACAAAAACAAUAAAAAGACUAGUUUAUUUGGGUGCUAAAAAUUUUGAAACCCAAGUGUAGAUUUUUUUUUAUAAUAUGUAUUUCCCAUGCAAUUUUUGAAGAGCCCUUAUAUGUAUGGAUUUCAGUUUUUUUCUUUUUAAGUGCUGAAACAAAUCUGUCUCUUAAUCCCGUUUUCUAUAAGUUUUUUGAAGUACCCUUGUGAGGCAAGAAAGCAACUGUUGCAUUAAAGAUGUAAGAACUAGCCAAGGCAGGUGUUUGGCCUCACAGGGAAGAUACUUGUUGAGAUGUCUGCAUCCCAUACGGAAGUACAUGGAUCAGAACACCCGCCUCUGGCUGCUGACUCCAGCUUCCUACUGAUUCUAGGAGACAGCACUGGUGGAUCAAGUAGUUAAGUUAGAUCCCUGCCACCCAUAUGGGAGGCCUGGAUUUUAAUCCUGGCUCCUGGCCUCAGCCCCUACUCACUCCUAGCCUGUAGAAAGUGUUUAGGAAAUGAACCAGUGGAUGAGGGUACACACACUCUGUCUCUGUCUUUCUGCUACUCAAAUAAUUUUUAAAAGAUAUAUUUAUCUGAAAGGCAAAGUUAGAGAAAGGCAGAAGCAGAGAGAGAGAGGUCUUCCAUGGGCUGGUUCACUCCCCAAAUGGUUGUAACCGUCAGAGCUGGGCUGAUCACCAGAGGUGGGCCAAUCUGAAGCCAGGAACCAGGAGCUGCUUCUGGGUUUCCCACGCAGGUGCAGGGGCCCAAGGACUUGGGCCAUCUUCUGCUGCUUUCCCAGGCCAUAGCAGAGAGCUGGAUCAGAAGUGGAGCAGCCGGGACUCAAACCAGCACCCAUACAGAAUGCUGGCACUGCAGGCGGAGGUUUUACCAGCACCGGUCCCAAUAAAUAAAGUUUAAUAGGAGAAUUAGGGGCAGGUGUUGGGGCGCAGCUGGGUAAGCAAUACUCACAUCCCAUAGCGGAGUGCCAGUCUGGGUCCUGGUUCCACCGCUUCUGAUAGAACUCUCUGCUAGUACAUCCUGGGAGGCCGCAGAUGGUGGCUCAAGUGGCUGUGCCCCUGCCACCCACGAGGGAGAUGGGUGGAGUUCCUGGCUCCUGACUUCAGCCUGACGCAACCCUGACCAUUGCGGGCAUUUGAGGAGGGAGCAGGUGGAUGAGGCUUUCUCUGUAGCUCUGCCUUUCAAGUAGAUGAAAAUAAAUUUAAAAAUAAACAUUAAAAGUUAAAACAGAAUGAGUCAGAGCUGUAGAAGUAUUACCGAUAAAUACCAUAGGCACAGAAGAUGAUUUUAAUUUUGAAGUCAAAAGCAGUGCACUGCAUAAUUGUUGGGCAUUAAGCAAAAUGAAUUCCUUCUGUUCUCUUGAGGCUCAGUGCUACCCAGACACUGAGAAGCAGGUUUGUCGAGAUGGCAGAGGACCUAGGUAAUGGAUUCCAGUGACGAAACAGGAAAUUCAUUCAUGAGUCUUGGCACGCCUCCAAAUUGAUGACUUAGCCAGAAAGGGAAUAACUGGAUUUUCCUACUUCUCUUGUAUUGUCCUCCAUGAGAAUGGCUGAAUGUUAGAGCUAGAUGGGGCCUUAGACCACCCUGCCACCCGUUUCAAGUUUGAAGAAAUAAAGACAGGUCAUGGUCUGACGGGGGACCACCCGGGCAGUCUAUGGCAAAAGCCCAGACUCUCGCCCUUCCCCUGCCACAUCCCUAGUCUUUCUAGACUGACAAGGGUGUUUCUUUGAUUGUACUCAAUGCGUCACAGGAGGUGCUAAGUGAACAAGAUCAUGCUUUGACACUCAGUUUUCUAAAGGAACACGUGGGGGCAGCAAAUGUUUAGGGAAAAAAAAAUCCAGUUUUAACUUGGACCAGCUGCAUAUGCACAUAGAUUUGGGGAAUGGGAUAUUUAGUGUUUUGAGUUUUUUGCUUUGUUUUGUUUGGUUUUUGGUUUAUUUGAUACUUUUGAGAUUGCUUGUGACUGAAAUGUUGCAAUAUGAGGUGGGGAAUUUCAGAGAAAGGGCUGGUGUCCAUGAUUCAACUUGGCUUCCAAACGCGGAUCUGCUAAAAGACUGAAAAGCAUUCCUUGCAUGUAGGACAUAUGUCUCCUUUAGAAUCCUAAACACUUUGGGGCAAUACCUUCUUUAUAGAAAUUAAUGAGAGUUGGUGUCACAGAGAUCGAAAUUAGUCAGACAUAUUGGUGGAGAUUUCCUUUAGUUAUCUGCUAUCAUAACCUACUUUUUUCCCAAGAUUUAUUGAUUGAUUUGAAGGGGAGGGGGAGAGAGAGAGAUCUUCCAUUUGCUAGUCCACUCCCCAAAUGGCCACAGCGUCCAGGGCUGGGCCAGGCCAAAGCCAGGAGACUGUAACUACAACUGGGUCUCCCAUGUACGUGCAGGGGCUCUAGCACUUAGGCCUCUUUUACUGUCUUCUUUGAGGUAGAAGACAGGAACAUUAGCAGGGAGCUGGAUUGGAAGUGAAGCAACCAGGACUUGAACUGGUGCUCACAUGAGAUGCUGGCAUUGCAGGCAGCUGACUAAUCCAGUGUGCCACAACACUGGCCCCACGUCAAACCUAUUUUGGGGGUGGGGGAGGCGAUACUGUGGCAUAGUGGACUAAGCCUCCACUUGUGGCACCAGCAUCCUGUUUGGGCAUAGGUUCAAGUCCUGGCUGCUCCACUUCCCAUCCAACUCUCUGCUAUGGCCUUGGGAAGCAGUGAAAGACGGCCUAACUGCGUGGGCCCCUGCACCGCUAUGGGAGACCCAGAGGAAGCUCCUGGCUCCUGGCUUCAGAUUGGCCUAGCUCUGGCCAUUGCACCAUCUGGGGAGUAAAACAGCAGAUGGAAGACCUCUCUUUAUGUCUCUCCCUAUCUGUCUGUAACUCUACCUCUCAAGUAAAUAAAUAAAUCUUUUUUUUUAAAAGCAACCUAUUUUAGUGUUGUGAUUAUUGAUAAAUAAAGUCUAUUUGGUAGAUAUUUCUGGUUUUAUUUUCCUCACUCAUGAAUAUUUUCACCCUUAUUGUCAUAUUUAUUAUUACUCCCUAAUAAUUCCCUGUUAAGUAGUGAUUUUCCAGGGGAUUACUGCUGCCUCCUAUCAUCCAUCACCCAUUGAGUUGAAAAGACAGAACAAUACUCUAAGAAGUAAACACGAGUUUACUAAAAGAAGAAACUAUAACAUCACAAGACUAAAUACUAAAUCACAAAAAGAGAUACCGAAAGUACAAUCCUCACACAGAAAUGCCAGCAUCACAGAAUAUCAGGCCUAUGUCCAAACUGUUCAAGACACACUACAGACACAGGCAUAUUCGGGCUCGAAGUUUCCGUUUGCUGGCUUUCAUUACGUUUUCAGUGGAAGUUGAUCUCACCGUGGGAAGCGGUCACCGAAGAAGCAUCUCUGAGUUCAUCCAGAAUGGAGGCUCUGGAGGUGCGUCUGGCAGCGGUUAACACACAGCGUCGUGUCUGAUUCCACCCCUGGAAAGCAGGCUGCACGCCUGGGUGUACAAACAGUGUCUACCCAAGAAGGUAUUUGAAUCAGAUCUUUACUCCUGAGCAGGGCUGCAACACCACGCCAGGACCAGGUGGGGAAGAGAAGGCCGAUCCCCUCAACCUGCGUGGCUUUCGGGUUGGGGGGUACACCUGGACCGGGCUCAGGGUGCACCCGCACAGAGAGCGCCAUCAUGAUGAGAGCUCUGAGGCUCUGAUGUUCUUCAGUUCUGAUCAUUUCUUCCUCAGGAUAAAACUUUGGAAAACACACCGAAUUCCCUGUCUUUGGGAAAUUUGAGCCAGGCUGCUGUCUAAUCGCAAACAUCACAAAUCACAUUUUUCUUAUCUAGCAUUUGGCACUGGAACACACAAGGACUUGCCAAGGCCAAAUAAAUCCCACUGUUUUAAGAGGUUGUGCUUGGUUAGCUUCUCUUUCUGUUAGUAAAAGAAAAAUGAUGUUAAAAAUCAUGUCAGUAUCCUAGUUUUUU